CAGCGGCACCUCGAGGUGCUGCCCGCCGAGCGCUGCCCGGAGCCCCCGGGCUCCCCGGCACGGGGCGGGAGCCCGAAACGCCCGCCGGCCCCCGCGACGCACCCCGGGGCCGGCGCUCCGCCGCUGCCCGCAGCCGCUCGGGAUUUUACUGGGCUCUUUUCUCCCCUUUCAGACCCCACGGGGCGGAAACCUGCCCCCCGAGGCGCCGCCGCGCAGCCGCCGCCGGUGCCCGUCCCGCCGCCGGGGAUGCUGCGGGAAGGCACCGGAGAGGAGGCGCGGGUGACCAGGUGCGGAGCCGCCGGCGGGCUCUUUCCCCGGCUAGCGGGGGGCUAAGGCGGCCCGUCUCCCCCUGCCCGGGCCCAGGCCCGCGUCCGGCGGGGCGACCCCGGCGCCAGCCCCCCGCGCGUCGCGACCUGCUGCAGCCCGAAAGCGAGAGGCGGCAGCGGCGGCGGCUGAAGGUCGAGCGCCCCGAAGGGUGGUUUAAAGCCGGGGGGGGGGUGUCCUCGGUCGGGUGCGAUGCCUUCGCCGCCCCCUUUGCCUGGCCGGGACCCCCAGUCCCUGCCGGCGAAUUUGUGCCUCGCAGGAGCUCGCCGAGGGCCUGGCUUCGCCGGCGCAGCAGGCGCAGGUCUGCGCGGCGCAGGCUCUGCCCCCCAGGCCCUCGGCUGCCUCGGGAGCACGGAGGAGCCCUUCCUGGCCGCUCUCCUGAGCACGUACGUAGCGCUGGCGGCAGCACCGGGCCCCGACGUGCUUUCGGGGGGGUUCCGCCUGCUUGGUGCCGGCGGAGACCCCGGGGUGCGGGAUCAGCCCGCAGCUGGGUUACGGGGGAAAGGGGGCGGCGCGGGGGGCGGCAGCAGAGCCGCCGAGUGCGGGGCGCUUGGGUGCCGCCGGGCUCUGCCGGUUGGUUUCUGUUCCAGCUGCGCGGAUGCAGCAGAGCGCCGGUGCGGUACGAAGUCACCCGGAGCCUCGUCCGCCUGGAAAUAGCAGCGCUGAGUUCCCCCAGCUGCGCACAGGCGGUGGCACAGGCUCUCCGGCCUCCGGGAUCCCGCUCCCGCGGGGCGAGCGCGAGCCGAGCCCCUGCCAUCCCUCUGCUUCCCAAGGUAGAUCGCCAGGACACUGUCCGAGCUCGGAGCCAGCCGGAGGCACCUGCCAGAGGACCCGCAGCUCCCGCGUCCGGUGGAUGAGGCUCUCGGCGGGGAGCGUGCGAAAGCCCGGCCAAGCCUGGAGAAACCCCCUGGAGCUGGGAGGCGACAGGGACCCCCGGCCUCCGGAAUCCUGCCGGCAGCUCAGGGGGGCUCUCGGCAGCAGGGACCUGGUGUGGAGCGGCAGCAGAGGAAUUAAAAGCAGAGGAAAUUAAAAUUUCUGCUAUGGAUUUUGCUUUUCUUCUUGGAAGAGUAGUAAAUGUGGUACGUGGCAUGCCGGGGAGAGCCGUAUGGGCUGUGCAUGCGUUUCCAUGAAUAAGGAAGGGGAGGCCUCAUAGGGGCAGAUUGGGGGUUCUGGCUCCUCGGGCUGAUGGACGUUGUGAAGCAGGAGACGCAGGCCAAAGCGAGCAGGGGAAGGUGCAGCACAAACUCCAGCCUUUUGCCCCAAAAAUCUGCCCUCAGGUGGGACGCAGACUGAGUUUUCUGCUUCUUUGCAGCACAGAACUUCAUUGCUUUAGAUCAGAGGGAAACAGAGCCUGGGGGGGGGUCUUCAAACCCAAGAGAAAUCGGGGACUGUCUGAACCGGGCUGUCCAGGCUCCGCUGUUCGCAGUGGGAUCGAACCAGGGGUUUUGCAGCAGCAGGGUCAAUGCAAACGCAUUUUGCCUCCCGUUGCCCCAGCUAUGCGGCUGCAGAGGGGUGGGAGGGGUGCACGUGUCCACGCUGCAUGCGGUGCUUUGACUGGAGAGCCAGGAGAGAGAAAAGUAAUUAAAGAAGAUUAAGAAAAGCCUCUAUUGCAUAAUUUAAAUAAUUUAAAAUGAGCUCUGCAGGCAUCUGGGGUGGGGGGACGGAGGGGAGGGCUGCCCCGAGCUGCCCGGCAGGGUUCGUGCCUGGGGCAGUGGCUGGCCGCGGAGCCAGGGGGACCGCUGGGAGCUGACAUGUAGCCCGACCUCGGCGCUGCUGGAGGAAGGGUCUUUUCGGGUGCCCGGGGGUCAGUGCACAGUUUGCUGCUGCCUCAGAGUCACGGGGCUGAUAGUGAAAACAACCCUUGUGGCA
ensembl:lncRNA